rnacentral:rRNA from 1 species
UAGGCUCAGGAUGAACGCUGACGGGGUGGCUAAUACAUGCAAGUCGAGCGAAUGGAUUAAGAGCUUGCUCUUAUGAAGUUAGCGGCGGACGGGUGAGUAACACGUGGGUAACCUGCCCAUAAGACUGGGAUAACUCCGGGAAACCGGGGCUAAUACCGGAUAACAUUUUGAACCGCAUGGUUCGAAAUUGAAAGGCGGCUUCGGCUGUCACUUAUGGAUGGACCCGCGUCGCAUUAGCUAGUUGGUGAGGUAACGGCUCACCAAGGCAACGAUGCGUAGCCGACCUGAGAGGGUGAUCGGCCACACUGGGACUGAGACACGGCCCAGACUCCUACGGGAGGCAGCAGUAGGGAAUCUUCCGCAAUGGACGAAAGUCUGACGGAGCAACGCCGCGUGAGUGAUGAAGGCUUUCGGGUCGUAAAACUCUGUUGUUAGGGAAGAACAAGUGCUAGUUGAAUAAGCUGGCACCUUGACGGUACCUAACCAGAAAGCCACGGSUAACUACGUGCCAGCAGC